rnacentral:tRNA from 1 species
UGGUCGGUGGUGCAGUGGUUUAGCACGUCGAGUCCGAAUGUGAAGACGAGUGGUUCGAUUCCCUCCCAAUCAA